CUCGUAGGUGGUUUGUCGCGUCGUCUGUGAAAUUCCGGGGCUUAACUCCGGGCGUGCAGGCGAUACGGGCAUAACUUGAGUACUGUAGGGGUAACUGGAAUUCCUGGUGUAGCGGUGAAAUGCGCAGAUACCAGGAGGAACACCGAUGGCGAAGGCAGGUUACUGGGCAGUUACUGACGCUGAGGAGCGAAAGCAUGGGUAGCGAACA
rnacentral:rRNA from 1 species